rnacentral:rRNA from 2 species
UCGAGCGAACAGACGAGGAGCUUGCUCCUCUGACGUUAGCGGCGGACGGGUGAGUAACACGUGGAUAACCUACCUAUAAGACUGGGAUAACUUCGGGAAACCGGAGCUAAUACCGGAUAAUAUAUUGAACCGCAUGGUUCAAUAGUGAAAGACGGUUUUGCUGUCACUUAUAGAUGGAUCCGCGCCGCAUUAGCUAGUUGGUAAGGUAACGGCUUACCAAGGCAACGAUGCGUAGCCGACCUGAGAGGGUGAUCGGCCACACUGGAACUGAGACACGGUCCAGACUCCUACGGGAGGCAGCAGUAGGGAAUCUUCCGCAAUGGGCGAAAGCCUGACGGAGCAACGCCGCGUGAGUGAUGAAGGUCUUCGGAUCGUAAAACUCUGUUAUUAGGGAAGAACAAAUGUGUAAGUAACUAUGCACGUCUUGACGGUACCUAAUCAGAAAGCCACGGCUAACUACGUGCCAGCAGCCGCGGUAAUACGUAGGUGGCAAGCGUUAUCCGGAAUUAUUGGGCGUAAAGCGCGCGUAGGCGGUUUUUUAAGUCUGAUGUGAAAGCCCACGGCUCAACCGUGGAGGGUCAUUGGAAACUGGAAAACUUGAGUGCAGAAGAGGAAAGUGGAAUUCCAUGUGUAGCGGUGAAAUGCGCAGA